GGAAUAUUGGGCAAUGGGCGAAAGCCUGACCCAGCAACGCCGCGUGAAGGAAGAAGGCCUUCGGGUUGUAAACUUCUUUUAUGAGGGACGAAGGACGUGACGGUACCUCAUGAAUAAGCCACGGCUAACUACGUGCCAGCAGCCGCGGUAAUACGUAGGUGGCAAGCGUUGUCCGGAUUUACUGGGUGUAAAGGGCGCGUAGGCGGGAUGGCAAGUCAGAUGUGAAAUCUAUGGGCUCAACUCAUAAACUGCAUUUGAAACUGUCGUUCUUGAGUAUCGGAGAGGCAAGCGGAAUUCCUAGUGUAGCGGUGAAAUGCGUAGAUAUUAGGAGGAACACCAGUGGCGAAGGCUGCUUGCUGGACGACAACUGACGCUGAGGCGCGAAAGCGUGGGGAGCAAACA
rnacentral:rRNA from 1 species